rnacentral:lncRNA from 10 species
CCACCACACCUGGCUAAUUUUUGUACUUUUAGUACAGGCGGGGUUUCACCGUGUUGGCCAGGCUGGUCUUAAGCUCUGGACUUCAAGUGAUCCGCCCGCCUUGGCCUCCCAAAGGGUUGGGAUUACAGGCAUGAGCCACUGUGCCUAGCACUUUGAGACUCUUGCUACUUACGUCAUUUUGCUAGUAAAGGGGAUCAUUGGGCCCAAAAGCAAGUCUCUAUGUGUACUUGCUGAGAGCAGCCUGUGCUCAGAUACAGCAGGCUCCUUCAGCCUGCUCUUUCACUCUGUGUCCAGGUACACUGUGCUCUCGCUGUGCAAUUUUCUCUCCAGGACAGAGCUUUCCCUCUUUCUGUUUCAGGUUUAGAUCGUCUUGUAGGAAUGACUUGACUACAAUUCAAACAAUAUGGACCUCACUUCAGUCCCAGAUCUAAGCACAGUCUGUAAAGAAGCUUUUACCUGAGAGUCCUACAUUGCUCGACUAUUUUAAAAAAAUGGUUCCCAUAGGACUAUUAGUUCUCUAUUAUUUGUUCCAUUAGCCUGAACCUGGGGAGAAUAAGAUUUUUUUAAUAAAUGGAAAGCACAAUGUACAAUAGUGUUUCUUAAGCUUUUUUGGUUAUCCCCUCCACCCUGCUUGCCAAGGAGCCUUUUUAGAUAUUUUUUCCCUAAUCCCCCACUAUGAAAUUAUAAUACCCCAGAUAUGCUGUAUCUGUAAUUACUGUAUGUAUGUCUGUGCUUAAUAUUGUACAUUAAAAAGAUAAGAACUUUCCACCUUCCAAUAAUGAAGUUUUAUCCCCUUGGGGGCGAUAUUGCCCUCUUUGAUAAUGUUUGACAUACAGGAAUUGAAACAUCAGAAAUAGAUACUACUUUCAAUAUUGCAGAACAUUGUCAAGUAUAUUUCAAACCAUUUAGCUUGCUAGAGUGUGGAAAUUAAGAAAAUUUUUUUUUCUUCCUGCAUGCAACAUAAUUUGCAUAUAUCAACAGCGAUGUAAGUAAGGAAAUAACUUAUUUGGGCUUUCUGAAAAGUCAUAGUAUCUGAAAUCACCUGGCCCUUGACCUUAAAAGAUCUUAUGUCAUUCUACUCCAGCAUUUUUCACUGUAAUUGCUUAUAGGCAGGGAAGGAUUGUGGAAGAAUGAGAGACAAGGAUAUGGAGAAAGAACAGAGAAAUGGCUGUAGGUACCUAGAUCAUGGCAUAUGGUACAUCUUUAACUUUCCAAUAACCAUUAAUUCAAGCCCAUUAGCCAAUAGCUUGCUCAUGUUUCUUUUGAAGCCUCCUAAAACAAUAGUUGACACCUGGAGAACAUCUCUUACUCCCCAACUUCAAUUAUGAAAAGAAAAUAAUAUUCAAAUGUUAAGCACUGAAUUCAAUAAGAGAAAGCCAGUCACAGAUUAAAGAAAUAAUUGCUAAGAUUUACACUAACCUGUUUUUUCACUUAGUCAAAAAUGUCCUCCAUAUUGGUUGAUAAAUCAAGAAAUCUUUACAAUUAAAAUAAAUGGUGCUUCACUGAUAUUUUCUUCCAUUAUGCUUUAUAAAACUAAUAGAAUAUGGGUUUUCAAAGAGUAACAUAUUAUUCUUAAAAUGUAUUCAAUUAAAGUUAACACAGGCAAAAAUACACUCUCUAAUGUAUUCUAUCAUGCAUUCCCUCAUUCAGUGAAUACUCUCUGUGGGCCUACUAUGUGCCAGGCAUUAUGCACCAGACGAAAACAUAUCUUCUUGAGAAGCCAGUGCUAAGUCACUGUUCUUGUUCAUAUUUGGAUCCCUUCCCUUUUCAGGUUGGUUCAUUAACGGAAAUAUUAACAGCAACUUAUAUGUACUUCUCCACUUGUUGCUCCAAGAGAUUUACAGGUUUGUGCUUCUAUUUUUUUUUUUCAUACUUUCAAGUAAAUCUAAGUACAUGGCCUCAGAUGGCUUUCUCAUCCUGAACUAUUUUACAAAGUAGAGAAAACCAGAAAGGGAAAGCAAAUGUCUCCUAGGAUACUAAGUCUUCUCUUAUUAUUUUUAAACUCCCUGGAAGCAAUACACACACACACACACACACACACACACACACACACACGCAUGAAUACAUCAUCCAUUAUUCGUUGCUAUCUGUAAAGGUCAGCACUCUGGUAUGUUUAUGGAUAGAACAGCAUGGAUACACUCUUACUGAAUGAUCAUAUAAAGAUCAACCCAAAAACCUUGCAGAUUGAUUAGCCUUAAUCAUUUGGUAGCCAAAUUUUGGUGUCAUCUGAAGUUGAAUUUUUUUAAGCAAAUUUUAUUAUCCUAGGGAAAAAAUAAUAAUUUUUCUAAAAUGCUAUGAUUUCCAAAUUAGAGGUGAUAGGGUCCUCUCAAAACCAGUUCCAAGAAAAAGAGAAUUCAUGUUCCAUUUAUCUUUCAGAGCCAUUUUUGAUGAACAACUGACCUGGAAAUCUGUGCUAAAAUAGGUUUAUGAUACCUUGUGAAAUACUUUCAAGUCAUUAAAAAAAAAGAAUCCUCACUAAUGCUUGUCACAAUAAUCUUGAAUCCACACAUAUAAACCACUAUACUCUAGAAACACAAAGGAGAAUCCCAGGGGUGAUGAAUCAGAAAGCGGUAUCUAGAAACAAGGUUUCAGUUACUGUCUCUCAAGUAGCUUCUCUGUACUAGAGUAGGGACAGGUGUAAUAAAACAGUGCUGGCCCUCAGACAAUACUUAAACAGAAAAGAUGAUUUAAGCAAUCAAUUACAAUAAAAUGUCAUGAAUAUUAUGACAAGUAGAGCACUGUAUGAGAACUGAAGUCUAUUCUCAUAUCUCAUGUUACAUUCACAGACAGAAAUAAAACCUAUUUUUGGCCAGGCACGGUGGCUCACGCCUGUAAUCCCAGCACUUUGGGAUGCCAAGGCAGGUGGAUCACCCAAGGUCAGGAGUUUGAGACCAGCCUGGCCAACAUGGCGAAACCCCGUCUCUACUAAAAACACAAAAAUUAGCCGGGCGUGGUGGCACAUGCCUGUAGUCCCAGCUACUUGGGAGGAUGAGGCACAAGAAUCACUUAAACCCGGGAGGUAGAGGCUGCAGUGAGCCAAUAUCGCACCAUUGCACUCCAGGCUGGGCGACAGAGAGAGACGCUGUCUCAAAAAAAGAAAAAAAAAAGAAAUAAAACUUAUUUUAUAUGAGCAUUUGUAACGGUCAUUGCUACUUGCCCACAUUAGGAACUGUCAUGACAUAUCUAUCCAGUCCAGCCAGCUAUGUGAAAAAGUACCUGGAUGGGUCCUUUGACUAGAACUCUAUGAGAACUAACAAAAUAUUAACUAGCAUGACUGAAUCUACUUUUUUAUAAGGGCAAUUUAUAUAUUUUGCUUUUCUAUAACAAAAACAAAUUAUGCAACUAUAAGACUUAUAUAUAAACUUUCAGGUCCUCUAAGUAAAUGGAGAGACACCUUAGCCUAUUAGGCCUAUGAGAAUGGUCUCAUUCUGGUCUUCAUUUCUCUCCUUCCAGAAACCUCUCUGAAUGAUUUUCUACAUUCCAUUUGUAUCUUAUCCUUUUCUGUUGUUGUUGCGUAUGGGCAUUUUUUAACUAUUUGUAGAAUGUCCUUAGAAUUUGUGUGGACUUGCUCAGAUUUCACUGUUUAUCACAAUAUGCCUGGAAUCAGCUUCAUAAAAUAGGGACAGACCAUUAAAUUUGUUAAGCUGAAUAUAGUGCCCCUUCUUUUAAUGUAAGAAUGAUUUCCUAUUUAUAUCCUAAAUGACGGACUCUUUGUCUCCAGCCUCUUUUUCUGUCUUCAGAUACUACUUUGAAAACAAGAUGAAAGCCAUGGAAUCUCCCGAGAAAAAUGUACAUCUUACAGACUUUCAGUGAGUUCUGGAAUACCAGGAACCAGAGCCCACACUAAUGAACAGCAGUUUCCUAACCUAAUGCGAGAGAUUUGAGAUUUCUUCUGGCUCCCAUGAUCUUCUAAUUGUCUUCUUAGCAAGACUAAACACAUCUCCAAGAAAUGUGCACUGCCAUGAAUGUCUUCCAGCUAUCUUCUAUGACAGCACUUCCCAGUGUGUUCUGUGGAAUAAUGGUACAGGGUGAUAUUCUAUGAAGAAAAAUACGGAAAGUAAUAUACUCCACAGUCCGUAUAUUAGAUCGGACUAAUAAAAAUAAAUAUGGAAAGUAAUAUAUUCCACAGUCAUAUAUUAGAUCGCCUACACAACAGCAAUUUGAUAUAGUUUAAUAGGAUUUGAAUGAAUAAAAUUAAUGCCCACAGCUACUUUCUUCUGCCGGUAAAUAUUUUUCUGCCCAUAAUCUUGCUAAACAGAAUUCAUCUGAACUUACGUUGUUGCCAACAAAUAUACGAACAAUUAUACCUAAUCAAAAACAAAAACCAAACUGAUGUUAAAGAAAAUUAAUCAUUUGCUUUGAAUAAAUCAACUAUUAAGAAAGCUUAUAUAAUUGAGCCUAACAGUGCCAAAUCAUGUCUGAGAUGAAAUGCUGCAUGAUACAUAAUCAAACAGACAUUUGCAAGAGCUGUGGGUUGGGGGAGAGUGCAAAUGUUUCCCAGCACUCCUGUAUGUCAUGGGAGCACACAAUAAAACACUUGAAAAGCUGCAAUAAUAAAAGGUUUAAAGAGCUGCAAUAAUAGGUUUUGCACACUGUAGUGGCUACUGACACUGAGAACAUUUUAGAAGUUCAUCUCUAUCAUCCAAACACUACACACCACCAUAUCUAUCUAUUACGUUUUAAUAGGAAUUCUAUACUAAUAUUUUAUCCCUUUGCAUCUGCUCUAUUUUACUAUUUGGGUCAUAUCUCUUGUUAGAAACAAUGUUUGGCCCAUCUAUCCUCAAUAUAAAUAAAAAGCUUUUACCACAUAAACAAGGUCAGUUUGUUCUGUUUGAAAGAUGGAGUAAUGGAACUAACUGUAAGAUAUGCAAUGUAAAAUUUAUUCCCAUUUCACCUUUAUAUGAGUAGAAAUGAAAGGGUACUCAACUAAAAUAUGCGUAACAAUUAGGCUUUCUGUACUAGCCUUCAAAUAAAUAUGUGUGUACUUAUACAGAUAAUAGUGUAAAUGUAUGCUUUCUAUAGAAUGCACAGAAGAAAAUAUUUGAUGUUUUUCUUCAUGGCUUAUUUUCAUUAUUAAGUAUUUUACCAUUUGAUACAUGAAUCUGUACUUUGUUUUCAGGUAAUUGCAUAUAUCUAGUCUGCCAAUGACAGCAAUUUAUCAUUGCACAGAGUCAAAAAUGAGAUGUAAUUUUAUUGCUGCUAGUAGCUCAAAACAAGUCCUUUGGUCUGAUUUAUUUAUUUUUUUUGAGACGGAGUCUCGCUUUGUCAACCAGGCUAGAGUGUAGUGGAGCGAUCUAGGCUCACUGCAACCUCCGCCUCUCGGGUUCAAGCAAUUCUCCUGCCUCAGACUCCCGAGUAGCUGGAAUUACAGGGAUGCACCACCACACCCAGCUAAUUUUUGUGUUUUAGUAGAGAUGGGAUUUCACCAUGUUGGCCAGGCUGGUCUCGAACUCCUGACCUCAAGUGAUCUGCCUGCCUCAGCCUCCCAAAGUGUUGGGAUUACAGGUGUGAGCCACCCCGCCCAGCCUGAUAGGUAAUAUUAAGGGAAUAUUUCUCAACUUUAAUUUCAGCCACACUAUAGAAAAUAGUCCCUUGGUUUCUGGAACAUAAUUGCAUGUAGUCCAUUUCCAUACAGGAUAUUAUCCAUAUCCUAAUUUAUAUCCAUAUAAAUUUAGGAUUGGACUGGGUUACAAAAUGAGAAGUAAAAAAAAACUUUUGAAAUACUGGCAAUUUAUCUGCAGAAAAGGACACAAAUAUGUGCAUUUUUUUCUUUUGUAUCCCGAAUGCACUAAAUCAUGAACAGUGUAGCUGCAACAUUACCUGAAAAUGAAUUCUUGUGAAUAAUACUGUUCUUUAUUUUUUAUAUUUUCCAGCUUGCAUUACUAAAAUUACCUACUUUUUAAACAUUUAGACCUCAGAGAUUAUUAUUGGUGUUAAACAUGAAACGUCAGACUGAAUAUUUUAUGAAUGCAUAUUGUGUGAACAUGAAUUCAUUCUACAAAUUAGUUUUUAAUUCUUUUUUUAAGAUCUAAUAUUUAAUAAUACACUAAUUUACUUUCCUUAGCACUUAUAGAAGUACAUGACUGCUUAUUUCAAAAAAUUCUAAAUACCCUGAGCAGGUUAAGAUAGUGUCCUAAGUAAAGAAUUUCCUCAAGUCUGCUUUAUGUGCCUCAGCCAGAUUGGGAAAGACUGAGAAGUAAAGACACAGAAAGAAUUGUUUAUCUUCUUUUGCUUAUAUUUCCUGAUUUGAGUCAUCCAGAGGUGAAAGAGAUUGCCUUUUCUGCAACAGAAAAUAACUCAAUAAUGGCAAGUUGUGUAAAAGAACUAGUACGAAGCAUUGAGCCAGUUUAACAUACUGCCUAAAAACUUUUAAGUUAAUAAAAUCAAAUCCAAAUGCCAAACAUUAUCGUUGAAAGAAAAUACAUACAAAUGACACAUUAUAUUUGAGACUCUAUGUCUCCCUAAUUCAAUGAUUAGGACUUUAAGAAACUGUUCCUUAAAACAUACAGUAAGAUUUCCAAUACCUGAGAAUUUUAAAUACCACUUCUUUAUAUUUAAUAAAUAGCUUAAAAUUAUAGCAAACUGGAAUUCAGAUUCUCAUUUCUUUACCAAAUUGGCCUCAAUUUUUUUUAAAUAUAGUUGCUGUUCACCAGCUCUAAACAAUCAACAAAAAAUGCAGAACAAAAAGAAGUGGAGAGGAGUGACAAAUCACAAUUUGGUGGGAAAAGAGGAAAAGAAUGAGAAAGCAUUCGAUAUUCAUUGCCCCAAAACAAUGGAGACCUGUACACAGGCACCAUGGUAAUUACUUACAUCUUCCCUAUGUCCCACUAGUACAUAUUAAUAAUUUAGUUUCUAUUACUAGUCACUUACCUACACAGAAGAAACUGAUACAUUUUGGAAUUUAUAUGACUUAACUACAUGGCUUUUAAGAAGUAUCCUACUAUAGUUUGACUGUCUGUCCCCUCCAAAACUCAUGUUGCAAUUUAGUUGCCACUGUAACAGUAUUAAGAGAUGGGACCUUUAACAGGUGAGUAGACCAUGAGGGCUCCCCCCUCACUGGGGGACUUCUACCAUUAUAAGGGUGAGUUCAGCCACUCCUGUCCUCUCUUACCCUCCUGCCUUCACCAUGUGAUGACAUAGCAAGAAGGCCUUCACAAGAUGCCAUGCCUUGAUAUUGGACUUCCCAGACUCCAGAAGUGUGAGCCAAUAAAUUUCUGUUCAUUAUACAUUACCCAGUCUGUGAUAUUCUGAUAAAAAAGCACAAAACAGAACAUGUCCUUUGGUAAGUUAUGAAACUGCACUCUAUUCCAGGUUUCCCCUAGACAGUCUGUAAUAGUCUGUUUUAUAUUGCUAUAAAGAAAUGCCUGAAGCUGAGUAAUUUAUUAAGAAAAGAGGUUUAUUUAGCUCACAGUUCUACAGGUUGUAAAAGGAACAUGACACCAACAUCUGCCUCUGGUUAGAGCCUCAGGAAGCUUUCAAUCACAGGGAAGGUGAAGUGGGAGCAGUUAUGUCACACGGUGAGUGUGAGCAAGAGAGGUGCCAUGCUCUUUUAAACAACAGCUCUUGUGUGAACUAACAGAGUGAGAACUCACACAUUACCAUGGGGACAGCACCAAACCAUUCAUAAGGGUUCCAUCCCAUGACCGAAACACCUCCACGAGGAUCACAUUUCAACACAAGAUUUGGAGGGGACAAAGGUCCAAACUGUAGCACAGUCUCAACCCAGUUAUUUCAAUUAUCUAUUUCUAAUAAGUAAACAAGUCACCCAAUUACCAUGGUGUGAUCAUAGCUCAUUGGAGCCUCAACCUCCUGGGUUCAAGUGAUCUUCCUGCCUCAGCCACUUGAGUAGCUGAGACUACAGGCAUGCGUAACCAUGCUCGGCUAAUUUUUGUAUUUUUUGUAGACAAGGUUUCACCAUGUUGCCCAGGUUGGUGGUCUUGAACUCCUGGGCUCUAGCAAUCCUCCUGCCUCAGCCUCCCAAAGUGUUGGGAUUACAGGCAUGAACCACCCUACCCGGCCUACAGCUACUCACCUUAAUAAAACAAAUAUAUUAGCUUAGGCAAUGAUUUUAAUUUCAUUCUAUAUUUGCAACUGUAGACAUGCAAAGGGGUUAUCCAUACACAAUCAUGUGAAUGUCAGCCUACCUUAUUAUAUAGUAAAAGGCUAAUAUAAAGAAUUCUCCAUAGAAAGUGAGAAACUGUGUGAGUGGAACAUUUUAAGUAUUUGCCUUUACAUCAGUUUAAAGAUCUAGGGACACAAUUUUAAAGAAGCACUGUAAGAUUAAGGUGAGGAUAAUGACAACUGCAUUAUUUCUCUCUCCCCAAUAAGAGACAGUUGGUGACUUAGUCCUUUUGUGCUGCUGUAACAAAAUACCACAGGCUGAGUAAUUUAUAAAAACAAUAGAAAUUUAUGCUGGGCAUGGUGGCUUGCGCCUGUAAUCUCAGCUACUCAAAAGGCUGAGACAAAGGGAUUGCUUGAGGCCAGGUGUCCGAGGGCAGCUAAGACAACAUAGCAAGACCCUGUCUCUAAAAUAAAUAAGUACGCCUUACAGUUCUGGAUGCUGGGAAGUCAAGAUGAAGGCAUUAGCAGGUUUAGUGUCCGGUGAUGGUUGCUCUCUGCUUACAAGAUGGCACCCUGUUGCCACAUCCUCCAGAGGGAGGAAUACUGAGUCUUCUUCACAUGGUGGAUGAGACUGAAGAGCAAAAUGGAUCUAAGCCAGUUCCUUCCAGCCCCUUUUAUAAGGCACUAAUCCAUACAUAAGUGCAGAGCCCUCAUGACUUAAUCACUUCCCAAUACUUUAAACAAUUUCUUUAGAUUAUUUAUAAUGCCUAAUACAACGUAAACCUUAUAUAAAUAGUUAUACUUUAUUGUUUAGGGAAUAAUUACAAGAAAAAAAAAGUCUACCAUGUUCAGUACAGGUGCAACCACACAUUUUAUUUUUUCUAUAUGUUUUCGAUCCACAAUUGGUUGAACCCACAGAUGCAGAACCCACAGACAUAGAGGGCCAAUUUGUAUAGAGAGGAAGGCAACCAGACCUAAGUGGUUAAGACACCAACUUAAUUUAAAGCAAAGAUCAAAUGGUAUAAUUCAGAUGUUUCUGUAGAUAGUAAACAUCCAGUCAGAUAAUACUACAGGCAUACACUGUUUUAUUGUACUUCAUUGUACUAUACUUCAUAUAUAUUGCAUUUUUUACAAAUCGAAGGUUUGUAGCAAUCCCACACCUAGCAAGUGUAUCAACUCCAUUUUCCCAACAGCAUAUGCUCACUUCAUGUAUUCUGUCGCAUUCUGGUAAUUCUCCCAAUAUUCUGAACUUUUUCUUAACUGUUAUUUGUGUUAUAGCGAUCUCAAUCAGUGAUCUUUGAUGUUACUAUUGUUUUGGAGGCACCAUGAACUAUGCCCAUAUAAUAUAGUGAACUUAAUGGAUACAUGUGUAUGUUCUGACUGCUCCACACAUCUGCUGUUUCCUUUUCUCUCUCCUCAGGCCUUCCUAUUUCGUGAAACAGCAACACUGAAAUUAAACCAAUCACUAGCCGUAUAAUGACCUCUAAGUAUUCAAGUGAAAGGAAGAGUUGUACAUCUCUCACUUUACAUCAAAAGUUAGAAAUGAUUAAGCUUAUUGAGGACAGCAUGUUGACAGCUGAGGCAAACUAAAAGCUAGGCCUCUUGUGCCAAACAGCCAAGUUGCGAAUGCAAAGAAAAAGUUCUUAAAAGAAACUAAAAGUACUACUCCAGUGAACACAGGAAUAAGAAAGCAAAACAGCUUUACAGCAGAUAUGGAGUAAGUUUAAAUGGUCUGGAUAAAAGAUCAAACCAGUUACAACAUUCCCUUAAGCCAAAGCCUAAUCCAGAGCGGGCCCUAACUCUCUUCGAUUCUACGAAGGCUGAGAGAAACCGCAGAGGGAAACUGCAGUGGGAAACUGCAGUGGGAAGGUAGCAGAGGUUGGCUCAUGAGGUUUAAGGAAAGAAGCCAUCUCCAUAACAUAAAAGUGCAAGAUGAAGCUGUAAGUUAUCCAGAAGAUCUAGAUAAGAUGGAUGCACUAAACACUAAACAACAGAUUUUCAGUGUACAUAAAAUAGCCUUAUAUUCAAAGAAGAUGCCAUCUAGGAUUUUCAUAGCUGUAGAACGGGAAUCAAUGCCUGGCUUCCAAGCUUCAAAGGACAGGCUAUCUUGUUAGGGGUACUGCAGCUGGUGACUUAAAGUUGAAGCCAAUGCUCAUUUACAAUUCCAAAAAUCCUAGGGUCCUUAAGAAUUUUGCUAAAUGUACUCUGCCUGUGCUCUAUAGACUCUAUAGAUAGAAAAACUAUGCCUGGAUGACAGCACAUCUUUUAAAAUCAUGGUUUACUGAAGACGUUAAGUCCACCAUUCAGUAAAAGAUUUCUUUUGAAAUGCUACUGAUCAUUAACAAUGUACCUGGUCACCCAAGAACUCCAAUGGAGAUGUACAAGGAGUUGAAUUUUUUUAAUGCCUGCUAACACAUCCAUUCCAUAGCCCAUGGAUCAAGGAAUAGUUUUGACUUUCAAGUCUUAUUAUGCAAGAAUAUUUUUUGCAAGGCUAUAGCUGUCACAGUGAUUCCUCUGAUGGAUUUGGGCAAAGUAAACUGGAAACCUUCUGGAAAGGAUUCACCAUUUAAGAUGUCAUUAAGAACAUUGAUGAUUUAUGAGGGGGGUCAAAAUACCAAUAUUAACAGGAGUUUGGGAGAAGUUGAUUCCAACCCUCAUUAAUAAUUUUGAGGUGUUUAAGACUUCACUGGAGGAAAUAACUGAAUAUGUGGUAGAAAUAGGAAGAGAACUAGAAUUAGAAGUGGAACCUAAAGAUGUGACUGAAUUGCUGCAAUCUCACGAAAAAACUUGAACAGAUGAGGAGUUACUUCUUAUGCAUAAGCAAAAAUGAGGUUUCUCAAGUAAAAGCUACUCAUGGUGAAGACGCUAUGAACACUGUUGAAAUGAUAACAAAGGACUUAGAAUGCUACCUUCUUAGUUGAUAAGGCAGUGGCAGGGUUUGAGAGGACUUGAUCCCAAAUUUCAAAGUUUUACAGAGAAUAAAAUGCUAUCAAGUAGCAUCACAUGCUACACAGAAAUCUUUGGUGAAAGGAAGAGCCAAUUAAUGUAGCACACUUCACUGCUAUCUAUUAGGAGAAACUGCCA